rnacentral:lncRNA from 1 species
CCCAGAAAAAUAAUUAAAAUGGCCUUAUUACAACCCAAAACCAAACAAUAAUAUUAAUAAGAUAAAACGUAUAAAGAAAUAAAUCGGCUACUUAUUACAAUUAAAAGAAACAGAAACAGUAGUAUGGCCAUCUUCGAGUCCCUCGCAGCUCCAAACCAUCUAAGCUUAGGGAUUACCUGCAUAGUUAGAAACGGGGUGAGUUUACGAAAACUCAGUGUGUAAUCCCAAUAACAAACAAACAGUGAAAACACAGUAUCAGUACAAUCUGGGUCAAAGCCCUAUUUAGUCUUGACAUAUACUGGGCCGAAGCCUUUCGUUUAACGAUUACUGGGCCGAAGCCUUUUCAUAAAUCAUAUCACUGGGCCAAAGCCUUUUCAUAAAUCAUUUCACUGGGCUGAAGCCUUUACUGUAAACGGUAUGGCCUAUAGGCCCAUUUCAAUAUCACAUGUAAUGUCAAUGGAUGUAUGCAAGCCCAUUUCAAUAUCACAUGAAAUACCAAUGAAUGUAUGCAAGCCCAUUUGGGGAGACUACUCAACCCACCAUCCGCUACUCUCCACCCGUACCAACCAACACACCAUGUGGGGAAUAACUAAACCCACCCAACCAACACACAAUUGGCAGCAUAGCUGCUUUAUCAUAUAUCUGGAGGCCUGGCCUCUUUAAUAACUGGGGCAAAGCCCUUUUCAGUAAACUGGGGCAUAAGCCCUUUUCAAUAAACUGGGGCAUAAGCCCUUUUCGGUAAACUGGGGCAUAAGCCCUUUUGCACUUCCUCCAUCCAUAUAAAAACCCAACCCAAUGCAACAUGUCAUGUAUGCAGAAUGUCAUGCCCAAUUUGAAUUAAACAAUCACAGUCAAGUCAUUCAUAUCACCAACAUACAUUCACAAUCAAAUCCGUCAACCACACAGUCCAAGUCAGUCACUUGCCCACAAGGGCACAACAGUCAUUUUUCACAUUAUAAGGGUAUUGUCGUAAUUUUACCAAAUAUCAGGGUUUUCCAUGUUCAUUACAAUUAUCAAUAUUUUCGAGUGUUUAAACAAUGAUCUUUAACCCACUUUAUCAAAUUCGGGCUUUUGGGCCCAAAACCCCUAAUGGGCCUUACGAAUGCUGAUUUAGCCUACUUAACCCAAAUUUUACAACAAUACUAACCGUGUUAACGUGCAACUUUUCCAAAUUCCAUUUUCUAUCAAUUCUACCCAAAUGGGUCCGAAAGCCAAUUGGGCCCAAUUUCAGCCCAUUGAGGCCCAACUUACCAUCGUGCACAAAAUUGAGUUCUUACUUGUUCCAUCGAUCCAAACACCGAUCUUAUCGUAUUUAUCGCAUCUAUACCCAAACGCAACAUUACAAGUUCUCGAAAUACCGGUAUUUUAGCAUUUCGGCUUCUCAGCAAAUAUUAAUCUAAGCUAUUACGAGGGUUAGUACACACCUGUUACGGGUUGAAGUUGAAACGUUUCCAAAAUCAAUCGCCUACGAUAACCACCACCUGUCACUCAAACUUAACUAAUCCAAUAUCAAUAUAUGUAAAUCCUAAGCACAUCAGUCAUACGGAACAUAAGGGCAUAUUCGUCAUUUUACCAUACAGGGGUAUUACGGUCACUUUAUCCUACAGGGGCUUUACGGUCUCUUUACCCUACAGGGGCUUUACGGUCUUUUUACCUAAUAGGGGUAUUUUAGUCAUUUCAUCCUACAAGGGUGUUUUGGUAAAUCUACAAACCAAGGGUAUUUUAGUAAUUUUGUAAACCAAUGGUAUUUCCAUAAUUUUUAGAAAGUCAAGGGUAUUUCUAUAACUUUGUAAAUCAGGGGUAUUUUGGUAAUUUUACAAAUUGAGGGUAUUUCGAUAAUUUCACAAACCAGUGGUAUUUUGGUAAUUUUACAAACUAGGGGUAUUUUGGUAAUUUUACAAAUUGAGGGUAUUUCGGUAAUUUUACAAACCAGGGGUAUUUUAGCAAUUUUACAAACUAGGGUAUUUUGGUAAUUUUACUCAUCGAGGGUAUUUUGGUAAUUUUGUAAACCAAGGGCAUUUGAGUAAUUUUGUAAAUCAAGGGUAAAACAGUAAUUCUAUAAAUCAAGGGUAAAAUGGUAAUUCUGUAAAUCGAGGGUAAAACGGUAAUUCUAUAAAUCGAGGGUACUUUGGUAAUUUUACAAUUUGAGGGCAUUUUAGUAAUUUGAUAAACUAAAGUAUUCUUAAAUAGGGAUAACAAUACGAAUGGGCCUAAAGCCUAUUCUCGGCCCAAAUGGGCCCACACGCUCGUGUAGCCCUUUUAGGCCAAAUCUAUCCACAGAUAUGAGAUUCACCUAGCCUAGUCUAAUAUUUACUACAUAAUCAAACAACUUAUCUAAUUAGGCCCGUAGGCCCAUUGAGCCCACAUGACCCCUUUCGGCCUGAAGUAGCUAUCUUACAGCUAGAGUAGCGAGAAAUACACACCUGAUAGGAGACUAGAGUUAAUCCACACUCCGAGCACUCUUAGCCGACGCCCAACCCAAACGAGCACGCCAUACAUCGAAAGGGAUCAGCCAAGAAAGGUACCUUUACUCUCCUCAUGGUUCCCUCUAUUUAAAGCCAGCUUUAUAUCCACUCUUAUGUUAGCUUCCCGAUGUGGGAUCCCUCCAACAUCAGAGUUUAAA